UUACAACAAAGUCACAUUUUUUCCCCCAGCCUCACAGAGGAGAGGCUUUCCCCUCAGUGUGGUUUUCGGGCAGUCUUCUCAUGACAGUCCAUCAUGUAUUGGUGCAUUUCUUCUCUCCUGUCCACAUCAAGAUAUGAUAUAGGAAAUUAUAUAUAAUUUAUUAGGACUAUAGUGUAAAAACUGUAGGUAACAUUUCUGCUAUACAAACAGAUCUGCUCACUCACCACAUACACUGGUACACUGUGUUAGCUGUUGUUGGUUAGAUGUGUUACUGGGUAUGCUGUAACUCUACAGUUUUAAAGCAGCACUAUGGAAGUUUUUUAAUCAGUCAUUCUGAUGGUAAACAAACUUGUAAAAGGGAGAAUCGUGCACCUAGCAUAGCUGGCAGCACCCUGCAGGCGGAAAACCAGCCAUGCAGUUUGGCUGAUGGCAAGACGGAAACAUCUCGCGAGAAUCGUGAAAUAUUAACUGGUCAGUAGAUAUAGCUCUUUGGAGAUUGUCUUCACCUGUUGCUAGUCCUUUGGCUCCAAAAUAAAUGCACAUGUAUUGUGCAGGUGUUUAGGAGGAAGUGCUCAAGCCAACAGAAGUAUUUUCAACGGCAAAGUAAAUUAUAAAUAUUCUCUCUAGGAGGAGCUCAUGAGUCACCAGAUUACCCAAAACUGCUUUGGAUACCAUUAAGGGUGGUCGAUGGAGCGCACCAUGUCCAGAGCCAUGUCACAGAUGUUGUGGGCAUGGUACUUGGUCUUCUCAGGGGCCCCAGCUACAACCAUACCUUGAAGACACGGUGCUUCUCGCUGAGCGUGUCGAAGAGCGUGUACAUGGUGUUGAGCAUGGACACCACCUGCAUGGGUGUGAUGUGAC